rnacentral:rRNA from 1 species
CUACGGGAGGCACCAGUGGGGAAUAUUGCACAAUGGAGGAAACUCUGAUGCAGCAACGCCGCGUGGAGGAUGACACUUUUCGGAGCGUAAACUCCUUUUAUAUAGGAAGAAGAUGACGGUACUAUAUGAAUAAGCGCCGGCUAACUCCGUGCCAGCAGCCGCGGUAAUACGGAGGGCGCAAGCGUUACUCGGAAUCACGGGGCGUAAAGAGCGUGUAGGCGGAUUAAAAAGUCAGAAGUGAAAUCCUAUAGCUUAACUAUAGAACUGCUUCUGAAACUCUUAAUCUAGAAUAUGGGAGAGGUAGAUGGAAUUUCUGGUGUAGGGGUAAAAUCCGUAGAGAUCAGAAGGAAUACCGAUUGCGAAGGCGAUCUACUAGAACAUUAUUGACGCUGAGACGCGAAAGCGUGGGGAGCAAACAGGAUUAGAUACCCCCGUAGUC